rnacentral:rRNA from 1 species
UCUUCCGCAAUGGACGAAAGUCUGACGGAGCAACGCCGCGCGAGUGAGGAAGGUUUUCGGAUCGUAAAACUCUGUUGCUAGGGAAGAACAAGUACCGUUCGAAUAGGGCGGCACCUUGACGGUACCUAAACAGAAAGCCACGGCUAACUACGUGCCAGCAGCCGCGGUAAGACGUAGGUGGCAAGCGUUGGCCGGAAUUAUUGGGCGUAAAGCGCGCGCAGGCGGUUUCGUCAGUCUGAUGUGAAAGCCCCCGGCUCAACCGGGGAGGGUCAUUGGAAACUGGGGAACUUGAGUGCAGAAGAGGAGAGUGGAAUUCCACGUGUAGCGGUGAAAUGCGUAGAGAUGUGGAGGAACACCAGUGGCGAAGGCGACUCUCUGGUCUGUAACUGACGCUGAGGCGCGAAAGCGUGGGGAGCGAACAG